rnacentral:rRNA from 1 species
UGAGGAAUAUUGGUCAAUGGGCGGAAGCCUGAACCAGCCAAGUCGCGUGAAGGAUGAAGGUAUUAUGUAUUGUAAACUUCUUUAGCAGUGGAGAAAUAAGGGGGUCGCGACCUCCGAUGCUAGUACACUGAGAAUAAGGAUCGGCUAACUCCGUGCCAGCAGCCGCGGUAAUACGGAGGAUCCGAGCGUUAUCCGGAUUUAUUGGGUUUAAAGGGUGCGCAGGCGGCCUUGCAAGUCAGCGGUCAAAUCGUGGAGCUCAACUCCAUUCCGCCGUUGAUACUGCCGGGCUUGAUUGCGGUUGAGGUUGGCGGAAUUCGUCGUGUAGCGGUGAAAUGCAUAGAUAUGACGAAGAACCCGAUUGCGUAGGCAGCU